UACAGAGGUCUCAAGCGUUGUUCGGAUUCAUUGGGCGUAAAGGGUGUGUAGGUGGCGCGCUAAGUCGGGUGUGAAAUUUCGGAGCUUAACUCCGAAACUGCAUUCGAUACUGGCGUGCUUGAGGACUGGAGAGGAGACUGGAAUUCAUGGUGUAGCAGUGAAAUGCGUAGAGAUCAUGAGGAAGACCAGUGGCGAAGGCGGGUCUCUGGACAGUUCCUGACACUGAGACACGAAGGCCAGGGGGAGCGAACAGG
rnacentral:rRNA from 1 species